rnacentral:rRNA from 1 species
UUUUAUAACUUUUUUAUAAGUAACCCCUGCUCAAUGAACUUUAAAUAGCCGCGGAAUCUUAACCGUGCUAAGGUAGCAUAAUCAUUAGCCUCUUAAUUAGAGGCUAGUAUGAAAGGGGAAACAAUUCAAUUUCUUUAUUUAUUAUUUUUAUUUAAUUUAAAUUAAGAAUAAAAAUGUUCUUAUAAAAAAAAUAGACGAUAAGACCCUUUUGAACUUUACUGAAGUUAAGCUGGGGCAGCUUAGAAAAAAUUAUUUUUCUCUAUAUUAUUAAAUAAAUGACCCAAUAAAAUUGAGUUUAUGAACAAGUUACCAUAGGGAUAACAGCGUAAUAUUUUUUUAAAGCUCUUAUUAAAAAAAAAGUUUGCGACCUCGAUGUUGAAUUAAUGUUACUAUAUAAGUGUAAUAACUUUAAAAGUAGGUCUGUUCGACCUUUAAAACAUUACAU